AGUGAACGCUGGCGGUAGGCCUAACACAUGCAAGUCGAACGGCAGCACAGUAAGAGCUUGCUCUUACGGGUGGCGAGUGGCGGACGGGUGAGGAAUACAUCGGAAUCUACUUUUUCGUGGGGGAUAACGUAGGGAAACUUACGCUAAUACCGCAUACGACCUACGGGUGAAAGCAGGGGAUCUUCGGACCUUGCGCGAUUGAAUGAGCCGAUGUCGGAUUAGCUAGUUGGAGGGGUAAAGGCCCCCCAAGGCGACGAUCCGUAGCUGGUCUGAGAGGAUGAUCAGCCACACUGUAACUGAGACACGGUCCAGACUCCUACGGGAGGCAGCAGUGGGGAAUAUUGGACAAUGGGCGCAAGCCUGAUCCAGCCAUACCGCGUGGGUGAAGAAGGCCUUCGGGUUGUAAAGCCCUUUUGUUGGGAAAGAAAAGCAGCAGGUUAAUACCCCGCUGUUCUGACGGUACCCAAAGAAUAAGCACCGGCUAACUUCGUG
rnacentral:rRNA from 1 species